CGGACGGGUGAGUAACGCGUGAGAACCUGCCUUCCGGAUGGGGACAACCGCUGGAAACGGCGGCUAAUCCCCAAUAAGCCGAGAGGUAAAAUGGGUAACACCGCCGGGAGAGGGGCUCGCGUCCGAUUAGCUAGUUGGUGGGGUAAAAGCCUACCAAGGCCACGAUCGGUAGCCGGUCUGAGAGGACGAUCGGCCACACUGGGACUGAGACACGGCCCAGACUCCUACGGGAGGCAGCAGUGGGGAAUUUUCCGCAAUGGGCGAAAGCCUGACGGAGCAACGCCGCGUGGGGGAGGAAGGCUCUUGGGUUGUAAACCCCUUUUCUCAGGGAAGAAGUUCUGACGGUACCUGAGGAAUCAGCCUCGGCUAACUCCGUGCCAGCAGCCGCGGUAAUACGGAGGAGGCAAGCGUUAUCCGGAAUUAUUGGGCGUAAAGCGUCCGCAGGUGGCUGUUUAAGUCUGCUGUCAAAGACCGGGGCUCAACUCCGGGUCGGCAGUGGAAACUGGACGGCUAGAGUUCGGUAGGGGUAGAGGGAAUUCCCGGUGUAGCGGUGAAAUGCGUAGAGAUCGGGAAGAACACCGGUGGCGAAAGGCGCUCUACUGGACCGAAACUGACACUCAGGACGAAAGCUAGGGGAGCGAAAGGGAUUAGAUACCCCUGUAGUC
rnacentral:rRNA from 1 species